rnacentral:rRNA from 1 species
UACGGAGGAUGCGAGCGUUAUCCGGAUUUAUUGGGUUUAAAGGGUGCGCAGGCGGUCUGUUAAGUCAGCGGUCAAAGCCCGGGGCUCAACCCCGGCCCGCCGUUGAAACUGGCAGUCUCGAGUUGGAGAGAAGUAUGCGGAAUGCGCGGUGUAGCGGUGAAAUGCAUAGAUAUCACGCAGAACUCCGAUUGCGAAGGCAGCGUACCGGCAUCCAACUGACGCUGAGGCACGAAAGCGUGGGGAUCAAACAGG